CUUUUAUCCAUUUCCAAAUGAAUAUAUUUCAGUCUACCAGGCAUUCGAGAAGCGACGUGUUGUCGAUAUCAACAAAUUGAUAAGAUAGCAGUAAUCCAUAGGUAAUCCCUCACUUAUUGACGUGAUGUUCGUAAGAUAAUAAUCCUGUCUUUGUGAAAUCUGGAAUUUAUCGCUAUUCUGAGGAGUUUGAAUUUCGAGUUAUAAUUCAUUUAUUUUUUAUAUAAUCAAAAAGUAAGUGAGAACUUCUGCAAGAAUGAGCAAUAACAACGAUACAAAAACGGAUAAAACUGAAGAAAACGUUUCGGAACAGUUGAACACUGAGGGGGAGGAAGCUUCUGCAUCCGAAAUUCCGGAAGAUGCGCCCGAUGGAAGUGAAAAACCCCAUUCGAGAUCGAAAAGGUCAUUGAUCAACGUUCCCGAACGAAAUAAUGUCGGUCCUGAUGGUCAGGUAGCUGUUGACUUUUGAAGAAUGCAGUUCACACUAAAAUUGUUUUUGUUCAAUUAUAAUUGAAUUUAACCUAUCGUAGCUUAGAAUAUUACUUGAUGUAUUCAAUGAUAUAGUUUUAAAAUUCAAUAUUAUGCAUUUGCAAUUUGCAAGUUGUAUUUUGAAAUGAUUUCAGGAAAUUUUAUUCACAUCUAGAUGAAACAUGUUAUGUAGAAUGUUUUUUGUAGAAUUAAAAUCAUUCAAAAUUA